rnacentral:rRNA from 1 species
UCUAAUUCGGGAGAGGGUAGCGGGGGAAGACGUAGGCGGCCAGCGUGGUUCGGGAUGACUGGGGGUAAAGGGUCAGUGGGCGGUGUGGCAAGUCGGGAGUGAAAGCUCCGGGCUCAACUCAGAGGCUGGUUGCGAAACUGCUGUGCUUGAGUGUGGGAGAGGCGCGUGGAAUUGCAGGUGUAGCGGUGAAAUGCGUAGAUAGCUGCAGGAACACCCGUGGCGAAAGCGGCGCGCUGGACCACAACUGACGCUGAAUGACGAAAGCUAGGGGAGCAAACAGGAUUAGAUACCCGAGUAGUC